GACCGCGUAGCUCAGUUGGCAGAGCAUUGGGCUAGUAUUCCAAAGGUCGUAGGUUCGAAUCCCACCGUGGACA